UGUUUGCGUUCUGUCAGCUGUGCUGCCGUGCAAAAUACAUCCCAUUUUAUUUUGUUUACAAAUUUGCUGUUUUUUACGAAGGCGGAACUGCUACCAGAACCGACUCGGAAAAUUAAAACCAAGCCACCGCCGUAAGACCACGUUCCGGUUCUUCUCUUUCGAACCAGUGAUGAGAGUGUUGGUCGCGGAGUUUUUUGUGUUCAGAAGUUAGUGGAAAACAGACUCAAGUGAAAACUCAGGAAUGUUGGUUCUUCGUGGACACCGUGCUGGUCUGGGUGCUGCGGAUCACGUAUCGGAAGAGUUCCUGCUGGAUUCACUGAAAGCGAACGCAAUCAAUCAUGUUUGGAGGAGUGGCGUUUGAAGCAAGGCCAGAGAUUUGCGCUGCUCCGGGUCUACUGGCAAUAAAAUGUAAACGGCUUACCGUGGAACUGACCUUUCCAGAUAAAAGCAACACACGAUCCUACACUUUUGAAAACUCACAUUUGGUCGUUACGGCAAGCCGUUGCACACCAAGUGCUGGCUCAUCUGGUACAGUUUGGCAGCUGCGGCCGCCUUCUCGAUGACCUUGAAAUCAUGCUUAAUCUCUUCCAACGAAAUCACGCGUUCCGUGGCAGUGAAGUGGACCGGGAAUACUUCGUCGUCGGAUCCGGAAUCAUCGUUAUGAAACCAAAGCUCUCUUCGAAACUGGUCAAAAGAUGUCAGUCUUGGAAAAAAUACAUAAAAUAAAAUCAGCUGACAGCGAUUCUAAUCACGAAUAAUGUUAAAAUUUCAUGUUUCUGUCUGUGUUAGAAUAAAGUUUGUAUUUUCUAAGAAAA